AGUGGCAGAGCACUUCCUAAUUUUUGCUAAAAAUUGUUUGUCGUGCAUGUAUCCACAUUCAGAUAAGUGAAAUAAUGGUACUUCAUUUGGUAUUGCAGGUGGUCUUUUAUUCUCUAUGGGGCUUCUAGGAUACAUCUUCUCCAGAAGCACCAUAAGUCUUGUCUUGGGCAUUACACCAGGGCUAGCCACUCUGCUACUUGGCACUCUCAGUCUGAAGUUCUGGAGGAGCGGCAGAUCCAGCUUCCUGCUUAUCUUGGCUCAGGCAGAGGUGAUGCUGAUGUGCAAGCAUCUUCACCUUGAGUUCUGCCUUGCCAGAAUGAAUCAAGUUUAUUUUCCCAUCCUGCUCCAUUUGAGGUAGCCCAAUCGUCUGUCCUCACAUCAACUUUCACCUGCCUUAAGCCUUUAGGUUCAUUUGUCUUAUAUAUACCAUGGUAAACCACACCAUGAAUAUGCCAUAAAUAAGUAACAAGAGUGUCUUGCAACCUUGAUUCUACAUGCUUCAAGUAGUCUAGAAUAUCAGAUUGUUGUAUAUAUUUAACACCUUCUGUACCAUCAAAUUCAGAAAUGCACUCAAGAAAAGGCUUUUCAAAACUCUUAGAAUGUAUUCCAAGAGCAGUGCACAUA